GAUGAACGCUAGCGGCAGGCCUAAUACAUGCAAGUCGAACGGUGUCUUCGGACAUAGUGGCGCACGGGUGCGUAACACGUAUGCAACCUACCUUACAUUGGGGGAUAGCCUUUCGAAAGGGAGAUUAAUACCGCAUAAGACAGUAGCUGGGCAUCCAGCAGCUGUUAAAGAUUUAUCGAUGUAAGCUGGGCAUGCGUCCAAUUAGCUAGUUGGUGAGGUAACGGCUCACCAAGGCAAUGAUUGGUAGGGGAACUGAGAGGUCAAUCCCCCACACGGGCACUGAGAUACGGGCCAGACUCCUACGGGAGGCAGCAGGAGGGAAUAUUGGGCAAUGGACGCAAGUCGGGCCCAGCCAUGCCGCGGGCAGGAUGAAGGCGUUAUGCGUUGUAAACUGCUUUUAUAAAGGAAGAAACGACUCUUGCGAGAGGCAUUGACGGUACUGUAUGAAUAAGCACCGGCUAACUCCGUGCCAGCCGCCGCCGUAAUAC
rnacentral:rRNA from 1 species